CGUAAGAAUAACCGAAGGAUUUGGAGGUGAUAUAAGUUGGUUUCUCUUUUCUUCGGUCUGCGUU
rnacentral:pre_miRNA from 1 species